AACGCACAUUGCGCCCGCCAGUACUCUGGCGGGCAUGCCUGUCCGAGCGUCAUUUCAACCCUCAAGCCCCAGCGGUUUGGUGUUGGGCGUCGGCCGUCCUCUGCGGCGGCCGUGCCCCAAAUACAGUGGCGGACUCGCUGUUGCCUCCUCUGCGUAGUAAUUACACCUCGCACCGGAACGACGCGAAGUCCACGCCGUAAAACAACCCAAUUUCUGAAUGUUGACCUCGGAUCAGGUAGGAAUACCCGCUGAACUUAA
rnacentral:misc_RNA from 1 species